UACGAAGGGGGCUAGCGUUGCUCGGAAUUACUGGGCGUAAAGCGUGCGUAGACGGUUACAUAAGUCGGGUGUGAAAGCCCCGGGCUCAACCCUGGGAAUUGCAUUCGAGACUGCGUAGCUAGGGUGCGGAAGAGGGAAGCGGAAUUUCCGGUGUAGCGGUGAAAUGCGUAGAUAUCGGAAGGAACACCAGUGGCGAAAGCGGCUUCCUGGUCCAGCACCGACGUUCAGGCACGAAAGCGUGGGGAGCAAACAGGG
rnacentral:rRNA from 1 species